rnacentral:lncRNA from 1 species
CAUAUUUCAAUAUUAAAGUGAUAUCAUAAUUCUGUGCAGGGUACCAUGACCAAAGUGCUGAAGGGAGUCAAAGGAGAGCAGGUGAGAGCAUUUACAGGCUAAAUUAGCCUAAUUUUGUCCAAUAUUUGCUUAAAAAAUGCCAAAUAAAUUAGAAUAUUCUUUUGAAAAACAAACUAUAGCUGGCUUUUGUAAGGACUUGAGUCUUUUUAAAUGUAUUUUUAGCUUAAAAUAGUUAUAAAACCUAACAAAACGAAACUAUGUUUGUACGUGUUUUGGCUGCAGGGAGACGUUGGACGACCCGGCCCGCCAGGAAACGACACUCGGCAACAAAUAAAGCCCCCCUCUGGACAACCUGGACUGAAAGGCCAAAAAGGAGAAAAAGGAGAUGUGGACAUCACAAGAGGAGAAACCGGCAUACCGGGAUUACCGGGACCCAGGGUCGGCACAGCAGCUUUCCCAAACUCCUCUGCAUGCUCAAAAAUGUAUUUUUGUUUAUAAUUUGUUAUUCUUUUACAGGGGGAAAGCGGUAGAAAUGGGU